rfam:Brachypodium distachyon strain Bd21 chromosome 5, whole genome shotgun sequence.
CAAUUACUCCCUCCGUUUCAUAAUUCUUGUCUCAAAUUUGUCUAAAAAUGAUGUAUCUAUUUUUAAAAAACGUCUAGAUACAUGAAAUAUUUCGACAAGAAUUAUGAAACGGAGGAAGUACUCU